GUCAGUGUAGUGUAGUGGUUAGCAUGUCGGACUAGGACCGGGAAGACUAGAGUUCGAAUCCCCACUGAGCU